CGUUAAAGUCACCCACGUGUUCAUAUAACAAGCUUCCAAACAGUUACUCUUCAAAAGAGAUCCUGUGUAUAAGCAUGACAUAAUAUAAAUUCCACAAUAUCACUUAUACGCCAUAACCGAGCGCGCAAAUAGUUACAAUGUAUAAUAUUAAAAUCGACAAUUUGUCAAUGCCAUCUAGGAACUUACAGGGCAACGAAAAAUGCAGGUUCACAUGUCGCCCAAGAGUCAAGAGUCGCGUAGGCAUGUCGCAGAUGUCUAAAGGAUCGGAUCGCGGGAGAACAGUGUCGUGCUUGAGCCCUUUUAAGGUUAUGUAUAUUUCUUGCGUUUGGACGUAGGUACGCAUACUGGACGUUGGCAAGACCGCCGACGUCGCAGCGAGAAACACCGGACAGGGAACAGUUUUGAUGGGACCGAGACGCCGCGUGACAUUGAAUACAGAUCGAUGGGCCGGUUCGUCGAUCGACUUUGUCCGUGGACAAAUUUAUGAAAACGAGGCUUGAACAAUAGCCCUUAUUCUUCGGUCGCUAUCAUAGCCGCAUUCCUUCCCGCACGUUUAUACGGAAUUUAUCGAGAGAACUCUCAAAAGAUAUCAUUACGGACGGAUACUGGAUAUUUCCGCAAAGCAAGAGAUGCAGCUUCUAAGAGACGUAAAUUCCGAGCGUCUCUCUGCCAGCCAUCUGUUACGCCCACGCAGAGCGCGCAUCCCUUUAUAAAAACGGGAACAAGUUUCGCUGGAACAAGAGUGCAAGCCAGUGGUUUAUUCGCGUAUUGAAUAUCACGAACCAGGAACCUAAGGACAACCCGUCGAAGGACAACCGAAUACGUUCACUGGAUCCGAUUCAAUGCCAGGGACAUUCACGGGCGUGGUGACGUGAAAUCAGAGCAGAUCCUCAACGACCGACUCGAUUCGGUCUCAAACCUGCUACGUGGGCCACCAUGUUAAUUUACGAGCGACAGUUUCCUUGCGGAUCAACUUUUGCCGGAAGCCUGCUGACCUUGCCCUGGGCAAGUUCGAUUUUGACGUAACAGGAUACCAAAGUGGCUUCUGGUGAAACUUCUUUCAUCUGAUUAUUUUUAGCGAGGCAACUUCAUUCGGUGACUGACCUGUAAUGGCGAGACGGAUGCUGUCGCUAGAUCAAUCGGUACAACCAGGGUCAACCUGAUCCUGAGAAUAAACGCUGCCAGAGGUGGCUAAUGGACUUUUUACCUGGCUACAGUCGAUCCCUCGUGAUUUAUGGGGGUCGAUCGGGGUGCGAGAAGUACUGGAGUUACUUGAGAACCAGCCAGCAUAUUUUCACGACGCGCAUUGCUAAGUACUCGAGGUCGUUCGAUGCACCAGAGUCGAGUCUGCCCAACGUGCCGGAGCACAACUUUCCGUCUUGAGAUCGGUUGAUCUUCCAUGGGUACUUGGUACAUGUCUUAGACUGCGAAGGGCGUCCUGAAAGGCAUCUGAAAUAUUCCCAGCGAUAACCCAUCACGUCCUGAGAAAAGAUAAUCAUCUUUUUUCAAUGAAACCUUUAAUCUACAUUUAUGUCAGCCCUACUAACUUCAUUUACAAUUCAAAUCUUCGCGCGUAGUUUAUACUAGAUUUCCAUUUACGGCGAAUCAAUUUUGUGCCUUUUUAUUUAUCUCAGUCGUACGUACGUGUCGGGAUUAUUUGAAAAUAUAUUAACUACAUCCGCCACUGGGAUUUUUAAUGGCAACACUACGAUGGUUCCACGAGCCUCUAGAGAGGCUCCAACAAAUGGACGUAUUCGUGUAAACUGUAUCUACGUGUAGUGAUUUUAACACGGGUGUCAAUCCGAAAGAGGCAUUUCUUAAUGCGUUCCACCCAUUAUGAUCUUGUUCUCCAUCCACCAGUCUUACUCUUUAGAGUUUCAAGGAUCCUCAGUCGACGCAAUAUGAUAUCCUGACGACUUCUUGGAUUUAACACGAACUAUAGGGCAUCUUAUGUUUCAGGAUAUUAUAAAAAUGUAUCGCACUGACGUUCAGGGUCAAAAUGCUUACAUUCUGCCAAGUCAUAUAUAUAUUUAUUGCAUACGUGAAUUACCAGGUCGACAUAAAAUCCUUUUUGUGUCUGGAUACGCCUUUCUUUCUUUUAUGCACGGCGAAAAUUCUGCACGGAUAAUUUGCAGAAGAAAAUAAUUCACAAUAAAAUUACCUGCGUACCGUGCGUAGACAGUAAUUACAGAGAAAUAUCUUUACUCGGUCCUUACGAUCGCAAUUUUGUUAAUUUAAAAUUACUCUUAAAAGAAUUAAACGAACCACCCUGUAUUAUAUCGAAAACACAAGUACCAGUGCGUUCUUGCAAAACUAAUGCGUUACCCGGUAUAAAAUUCUCCAAUUCCAAGGAACAGGGUAGUAUUUGUCCAUCACCGUGGUUUUAUUUCUCUAUCCACAACCAGACGAAUCUUUCACGCGAAAAUCCAUAGUUGUUUCAUAUUUUGACUCCGUCGUGCGUUAAACUUUCAUUAUGCUUCCUCUAUUGUUUAAAAUUCCUCGAAAAGCAUCGCCGCGAAUCCAGCAUUACCUGCAAUUCGUAGUAUAUAGAUCCGCAGUCUAGCGUGUAUCACGAUAUUCUCCCAUUAUUGUAGUAGAUUCUAUACACACUCCUACCACUAUGUCUAUAUAUAUCGUCCAAUUGUAAGCCCAUGUAAAAAUGAACUGAAAUUAGUUCCUCGGUUACUCAAUAACUCGACUACCAAAGCCAGUUACCGUUAUCACCCUUCCAGCUAGUCACUGGCAUUACUGUUACGCAUAAUGCGAGUACCAUUAGCAACAAGGUAUAUAUGUAUAUAUAUAUAUAUAUACACACAAUGAUCUCAGUUCUUAAAUACAUAGUACUCAUAUAUGUUUUAAACUCAGUACCCAUGUGAGAGGAUCUGUAGUGGAUGAUCUAUAAAUAGAUAACCAACGAUAAACGCGUUGGCCCAAUACAAAAUAUAAUAGCCUAAUGGCUGAAGUAGUACCUGCAUGGCCACGAUGCAUUAAAGAAUGUAAUCUGCCUCCUGCUAAUAGCGAAAGCCAUCAAGAUCAAAAGAUCUCAAAGCCGCCUAUCAUCCUCCGGAACUUGUAUUCUCAUGGUUUGGGAUUCGUGCACCGUACCUCUUAUCGCCCUCGUGUGGACGCGACCUGGCAGAGGCGUCAUCGUUGAAUCAGUUCCAGUCAUUUAAAAGCACCUCCUGGAAGGAAGUUUCCUGCGAGCAAAGGACACGGAUCCUUGCAAACGGCAUGUACAGUGUAGGCGAGUCGCAAUCUGAAGAAUAUCUCGGGGCAACCAAGACCAAGUCCAAGAGUGGAGUCUGUUAUUGUAGGUAAGAGAACUCGCUGAUUUUACGGGUGUCUAUUUGUCUUCUCUUGCAGAGGCCGUGGCAUCGAGAGCCGAUACAACACGUGUGGGAAGUAGACACAUCGGUAGGCUAAAAACCGGCCUCUAAAAUAAAAUAAAAAAGGAACAGAGACGUUCGUAACUUUAUUCAUGUAGAGAGAGAGAGAGAGGUCUAUGCAAUUUUUCUAUUACCUUUUGUUGCUCUCUUAGAUACGUACUGCGCACGGAGGAGGUAUGACUUUCCUGGUGAGAUUCUUUUAAAUUUUAUUCACCAAGCAAACGCGGACCUGCAAGCUGCUUUUAUGGGAGACAAUUUACGGUGCAGAUUCUGAAGCUGAUCCUGGGAUGCAACAGGUUAAUAAGAACGCCGGAGAGACCGUGUAAAUGCUCGUGGUACGUUGAAGAGAAAAAAAUGUGUGAAUUCCUUUCUUCAAUGCGGAAUUUAUCCACGUGGCGAUCCUCCUGGAUAGUCACUUGGUAUCCUGAUACGAUAUGUUUGUUAGGCGGACGGUUGAAACUUUUUGAACAAUUUUCAAACCCUUUGACCACACCCAUACUUAUGGUUUUGCACGUCCAUGGUGGACUGAUUGUGAAUGUACGUAUGUCAGAGAUCCGGUCACAUGUUUGUGGAGGUCGCUUAUGUCGUAAACAUAAUGCAGUCAAGAUGGAGACCACACCCGGCGUAUAUACUGACUUUAUGUCGUGCGUACGUUUUACUCGUAUCCGACGCCAUCCAUAACCCGACAGGAAGGAACAUUUCGGUUUGAAAAAUGAGAAUGGUGAUGGCUGUAAUGUUACUUCGGGAGAACGACGUCGCAGCCCGUUAAGAUAUUCAGUAUAAAUAAUAUGUAGGGUCAUUGGGUUUAUGCAAGAGAACAAUCUUUGUUAUAUUGAACUUACAAAAUUAUUCUAGAGAUUUUAUUGUCUGUGGGACUGUUAAUGGCGGCGAGGAAGAAUUAUUACUUGCUUAUAAUAAAUAAAUCGGUAGAUUUUUAGAUGUAGUUACAGCCGCUGGAUACUUCUCAAUUAUCUAUCAUUCCAGCAGAGAGAAUCAAAAAAUCUUCUCUUUGUUUGGUCACGCAUGUCCAGUUGUGAAGUUUAUCUCGGCGGGGUAGCUACGUUUUAGUCUUGUUCUCACCGAGGUGGACAGUAGACAUCGUGGGCGUUCCUUGACUCCCGGACUUAUCAGAUCGCUAAUUUGUUGUCAACGUGACUGCAUUGUCUAUCCGUCCUUGGAUCUGCCACCCACGGAUCACCGGAAGAGAUCGUGGAACCAGAGCGCUACGCCCGAGAGGAUUUUAAAUAGAAUUCUCAUCCAAAUAAACUUAGUUGUUAGCAUAACUUAUCUUAGAUGGAGGCGCCAUUACUAUUUCGAGUAACACUAUCAAUAUAUUUAUUGUUAUAAAUAUCUUUAUUACACGGAUGAUGUUUAUCAUUCUACGACAGCAGACACACUUUACAAAAUUACAACAAUCGUGUAUCAGUGUCUAUUUUCAUUUUAAAAUAUAAAAUAUAUUGUUGCGAUUGA